rnacentral:rRNA from 1 species
AUUGAACGCUGGCGGCAGGCCUAACACAUGCAAGUCGAGCGGAUGAAGGGAGCUUGCUCCUGGAUUCAGCGGCGGACGGGUGAGUAAUGCCUAGGAAUCUGCCUGGUAGUGGGGGAUAACGUCCGGAAACGGGCGCUAAUACCGCAUACGUCCUGAGGGAGAAAGUGGGGGAUCUUCGGACCUCACGCUAUCAGAUGAGCCUAGGUCGGAUUAGUUAGUUGGUGGGGUAAAGGCCUACCAAGGCGACGAUCCGUAACUGGUCUGAGAGGAGGAUCAGUCACACUGGAACGGAGACACGGUCCAGACUCCUACGGGAGGCAGCAGUGGGGAAUAUUGGACAAUGGGCGAAGGCCUGAUCCAGCCAUGCCGCGUGUGUGAAGAAGUUCUUCGGAUUGUAAAGCACUUUAAGUUGGGAGGAAGGGCAGUAAGUUAAUACCUUGCUGUUUUGACGUUACCAACAGAAUAAGCACCGGCUAACUUCGUG